AAAGUUUAGGGUUAACAUUAGUGCUUAUUUUUGCAUAUCUUAGCCCUGGGAUAGGUAAGACGAGCUUGUGAGUUAGUUUAUGUAUGAAGCAGCUGUUAGGGUAUACAUGCUACAACUUGUAGGAUAUGUACUAUCUUAGCGGAUAAAUCUCCUGUAUAUGUUUGUGUAAAGUAUAUGUGAUUGUUUAGUAGUCUUCCUCGUGUCAACUGGGCAUGGGGUGUGAAGACAAGUUUCCAACAUGUUUUGAUAAAGACAUUAAUUCAAACUUUAUGAUUCAAGCUCAAAUCUACAUUAUUAAAGAAUAAGGAAAAAGUUGCA
rnacentral:lncRNA from 1 species